UACAUAGACCAGUUCGGACGGCGGUGUAGUACGCUUCCGAAAACGGGAGCAAGGCUAGCUCCUUCCGCUGGAUGUCCAUGU
rnacentral:pre_miRNA from 1 species